rnacentral:rRNA from 1 species
GGCGGCGCGUUUAAGCAUGCAAGUCGAGCGGUAGUAGCAAUACGAGAGCGGCGGACGGGUGAGUAACACGUGGGUAAUCUGCCCUUCGGUCGGGAAUAGCCUGUGGAAACACAGGAUAAUACCGGAUGCGAUGGUCUUCACACAAGUGGAGGUCAGGAAAGGAGCCAAGGCUCCGCCGGAGGAUGAGCCCGCGUCCCAUUAGCUAGAUGGUGAGGUAAAGGCCCACCAUGGCGAUGAUGGGUAGCCGGCCUGAGAGGGUGAACGGCCACAUUGGAACUGAGACACGGUCCAGACUCCUACGGGAGGCAGCAGCUAAGAAUCUUCCACAAUGGACGAAAGUCUGAUGGAGCGACGCCGCGUGGGCGAUGAAGGCCGUGAGGUUGUAAAGCCCUUUUCUUGAGGGGGAAUAAUGCGGGCAGGGAAUGGCCUGCAGAUGACGUGAAUCAAGGAAUAAGCCCCGGCUAACUACGUGCCAGCAGCGGC